rnacentral:rRNA from 1 species
UACGAAGGGGGCUAGCGUUGCUCGGAAUCACUGGGCGUAAAGCGCACGUAGGCGGAUUUCUAAGUCAGGGGUGAAAUCCUGGAGCUCAACUCCAGAACUGCCUUUAAGACUGCAUCGCUUGAAUUGUGGAGAGGUAAGUGGAAUUCCGAGUGUAGAGGUGAAAUUCGUAGAUAUUCGGAAGAACACCAGUGGCGAAGGCGACUUACUGGACACAUAUUGACGCUGAGGUGCGAAAGCGUGGGGAGCAAACGGG